rnacentral:lncRNA from 1 species
CUUCACAGGACAAAUGCAGAGUCUUCAUGUGCUGGGAAACUCUUAAAACUAUAUUUGGACAAAAUUUGGUGAGGCUCUUUUCACAAUCUAUUGAGAGGAGCCAAAAGGGGAAGAGGAAUUAUUUGAGAUGCCUGCCACAUUUAGUCAGGAGUUUCUGAAACCCGAACCUCUAUCCUAUGUCAUCUUUGUUUCAGAAAGUCUGAUUCGUUAACAUUUCCCAUCACCUUGGGAAGAAAGCUGAGGAUUAUGGGUUCAUAUUUCUUCUGUGUGAAAGAAGAUAACAAAGGAUAAGGAAAAGACAAAAUGUGUCCUCCCACCACCAAUCCUUGACUCUACAAUUGAGGAGUUGUCAAUGGAAACACUGCAUGAAUUACAUGCAUAAAUACUGGACCUCCAGCGAUCAUCUUGAGGGUGUGAAAAGAGCUUGCAGAUGCAAACUACAUAAUAAGAAAACACAACAGAAAGAUAAACACACAGAUGUCCAGAACAACAU